rnacentral:rRNA from 1 species
UACGAAGGGGGCUAGCGUUGCUCGGAAUCACUGGGCGUAAAGCGCACGUAGGCGGUUUCUUAAGUCAGGGGUGAAAUCCUGGAGCUCAACUCCAGAACUGCCUUUGAUACUGGGAAACUUGAGUUCGGGAGAGGUGAGUGGAACUGCGAGUGUAGAGGUGAAAUUCGUAGAUAUUCGCAAGAACACCAGUGGCGAAGGCGGGUCUCUGGGCCGAUACUGACGCUGAGGAGCGAAAGCGUGGGGAGCGAACAGG